rnacentral:rRNA from 1 species
UACGUAGGGCGCAAGCGUUGUCCGGAAUUAUUGGGCGUAAAGAGCUCGUAGGCGGCCUGUUGCGUCCGCUGUGAAAUCCCGGGGCUCAACCCCGGGCCUGCAGUGGAUACGGGCUGGCUAGAGGCAGGCAGGGGAGAACGGAAUUCCUGGUGUAGUGGUGGAAUGCGUAGAUAUCGGGAGGAACACCAGUGGCGAAGGCGGCUUCCUGGACCUGUUCUGACGCUGAGGAGCGAAAGCGUGGGGAGCGAUCCGG